AUGUCGCAGCAGCGAUCCGAUUUCCGCAUCUGCAACCCGACCACCCGCAAGUGUGCUUCCCUGCCACAUCCCCCGUCACGACCAGGCUCCAGGUUUGUCGACGUAGUUGGCUUCUACCAGCACACCACAUCUGGAGAACACCGGGUGCUCUGGGUGUCAGUCCCGAUACCCGUCAUUAGAGCAAUUAGAGCGACUGGUCCUCAGGGGGCAGACAUGGCAAUUGAGUUGCCCGAUUACUUGGUCCUCACCGUGGGAUCGGACCAGCCAAGAUGCAUCCAGUGGCCGACUAUUUCAAAACAAGAGUUUCCUGAUAUCCGGUCCUCCAGAAAUCCACCAGUCCACCAUCGUGGUAGCCUGCACUGGGCAAUGGGUAUCAAUAUAACUGUAUUUGACACCAUAGCUGAGACGUUCCGGCGGAUGAGCUGCCCGGCACGGUUGGAGAACACCCAUAUGUGGUCGCCUGACUCAUUGUCGGAUAUGGGCGGCACCCUUGCUUUGUGCCGCUCCGCCCCUGACUGCGUCACUUUUGAUAUUUGGGUGUUGCAGGACUAUGAUGCCGAGACCUGGGGCUUUCAAUAUCAGAUUAACUUGUUAGCAAUGGAGGUAUCGCCACCGAUUGAUUUGGGCAUCAUGCUUGUCCCUAUGACCACCCUGAUCAAUGAGCGUGAGCUGUUGAUCCAGCAGCGUCUUAGCCGUUUGUUGCAUUGUGAAAUUGACGGUGUGUCUUUAAGAGAUGUGGAAAGUGAAGAGCAUGAAUACCACCUGCUGCCACUUACUACCCAUUGCCUCCAAGAGAGCAUGAUUUCACUUCCAUUGUUUGAGACGCAAGAAAAUGCUGUGAACAAGGAGGCUCCAUUCGUCAUAGUGCUAUAA
rnacentral:rRNA from 1 species